CAGGACCAAGACUGUACAUUCUGUAAGGGGGAGAGAAAGACGACUGAAGAAUUUAUUGUGGAGUGCUGUAGACAUGAGUGACAGGGAGAUCUGCCUGCCCCCAAGUGAUUCUUGCCACCAUGCCUGCACCUCCCCACACCUGAGACAGACUACUAAUGCUGCUGCUGCUGCUGCUCCACUGUAGCACUAUUGCUGACAGCACAUGCCACAGCUGGUCCUGCAGGAACCUUCAGAGAGGCUGGCUGGAGGGAGAAAUGUCAAAGCCCAGUAAGGCACCUGGCCUGGGCACCUGCAACAACACAAAGAGCCAUGUGCUGCCUCGACUCACUGCAAGGGUGGCAGCCUGCUUCCUGCCUCACUUAUGCCACACUCAUCCAGGCUUCCACUCUAUCCACUCCUCCCUUGUACAUCAUCUGUUACAUAAUAAGCCUCACACAAUACUCUAACACACACCCACUGGUCUACUAACUACCAAAAAGUUGAGGUUACCUUAGAGCUGCAUCAUGCUUAACCUCCUAACUGGACUCCUCUGAACUUUGUAAAUUUGAUAUUACUGCUAUUUCAAAAUUUGCUUACUCAAUUCACUUCACAAAAUACUCAGCAUGACAAGAUGUACACAAGGAAAUGACUAAUAGCUUCACAGCUGCAGGCCACUGUUUGAUGAAGCAAUACCAGAACAAACUGCUUCAAUUUGAAAUGACAAGGAUGCCACUUUCCAAAACUUUUUUUUGUCAAAGUUAGGCUAGGUUUUGUUAGCUUAAGUGAAAAAAAAUUAAUGUGAAAAGGGUGGUAGCAGUGGUUAUCCAGUAAGCACAAUCAGUGAAGCAAAACAGGCAAACACCACCUAGAAAACACAACUACACAAACACAACCAAGCAAAGGGCUAAGGGAUGGUCUGCUGAGAUAGAUGUAAAAUUUCUUGACUAAUAGAGAGAUGAGAACAGUGGUAAAAGAUCAAGAUUCAUCGUGGAGGAAAGUCACAAGCAGUGUAUCCCUAGGUUCAAUACUUGCACCAACCAUGUUUGUGAUUUAUAUAAAUUAUAUGACAGUGUAAAUAGCUACAUGAGCCUUUUUUGCAGAUGAUGCCAAGUUGCUGAAAAAAGUUGAGAAUGCAGUGGAUUGUGGAGUGUUACAAGAAGAUCUGAACAUGACAUCAGAGUGGAGUUAUAGUUGGGAAAUGGAAUUUAAUCUAAAGAAAUGUAAAGUAAUAGAAUUUGGAAAAAGUGGGAGGAGAGUAAAAGGAAAUUAUGUGUUGAAUAGUGAAAAGUUGAGUGGAGCAGAAGAGGAAAAGAGUCUAGAUGUUACAGUGACUGAGGAUUUGACCCCAGAGAAACACAGCAAAAUUACAAGAGAAAAAUCUAUAACUUGUUGAGAAGAAUAAGGCUGACUUUUGCAUAUAUGAAUGAAGAGAUGAUCAGGAAGAUGAUUAUAUCACUGAUUACACCUAGACUGGAAUAUGCAGUGGUAAUGUGGUUGCCUGACAAGUUGGAGAGAGUUCAGAGAGCAGCAACAAAGAUGGUACCAAAUAUCAGGGACUUGACAUAGGGAGAGAAUGGAAAGGUUACAUCUACCAACACUGGAAAAAGGGAGAGAAAGGGGAGACCUGAUUGUGAUAUAUAAUGCAUGAGGGAGUGGAGAAGGUGGACUUGAUGGAUUGGGAUACACGUGAUACUAGAGAAUGUGGAAAGAGGCUGAAGAAGAGUGCUUUUAGAAGAGACAUCAAAAGUACAGUUUCCCGUAUAGAAGUACUGAUGUAUAGAACAGUCUGGAUGAGGAGACAGUAAAUGCAAAAAAAGUAUACAUGGAUUCAAGGCUAAGUUGGAUAUUAAAAAUAUGGAGAUGGGACAGCACAAGCAAAGCUCUUUUCCCAUAAAGUACAACUAGGUAAAUACAACCAGGCAAACACAACCAGGCACACACAACCAGGUACACAACCAAACAAAGACAACACAAACACAACCACACAAACACAACCAGGCACACACAACCACAUAAACACAAUCAGGCACACACAACUACAUAAACACAACCACACAAAUACAACCAGGCACACACAACCACACAAACACAAUCAGGUACACACAACCACACAAACACAACCAGGCACACACAAUCACACAAACAACCAGGCACACACAACCACACAAACAACCAGGCACACACAACCACACAAACACAACCAGGCACACACAACCACACAAACAUAACCAGGCACACACAACCACAGAAAGGAUGACAGACUCAGUAAGGAAAACCAGAAAAGCAGCCUCAGCAGAACCCAUACUAGCGAUUAGAUAGAAAAUUAUAAAGUGAUAGAUGUUUAAGAAAAAGUGCAGCUUUAGAAAUAGAUGAGAUAGCAGUGGUACCAUCAUGUUGAAAUAAAGGAGGGAAAGAUGAAGAAGCAAAGUCAUUGGAGAUGUUUUUGGCUACGUGCCAGAAGCCAUGAGGGGAGUUAGAUCUUGAAAGAUUUUGACACUUUCUAUUAAUAAAGGAGUUUUUGGCUUGCUGGAAAACAGGCUUGGCAUGAUUCUGGGCAGAAAUAUAAAAUGCAUGAGAUUCAAGUGAUGGAAGACUCAAGUACCUCUCUAUCAUGUAUAGCAUGAGAACAGUCUGUGUUAAACCAAUGUUUGGCAGGUUUAGGUUGAGAGAAUGAGAAAUGUAUGCCUCCAAGACAGACACUAUCAUCUCUGUCAGAGACAGGUCUCUGACAGAAGCAGUAGUCAUUCCAAGGAAAAAUCAGCAUAAUACCAUAAUAACCCCAAUCUUGUAAUGGUAUAUGCUAGGCAACUAGGCUUCUGACAUCUCAUCUAAAACCUGACUCUAAUCCAAUGUACACUAAGGGGGUGUUUGGUAUACUAGUAUCAUCAGGCAGCAGCACCAGACAUGUCUCCUUCUCACACAUAGGAGCAAUAUCAAAUGUGCCUACAGUGUCAUUGUAUAUACAUAAAGAUGCCAUGAGCUUAUAUAAUAUACUUUUCUACACAAUUCCUUUGAAGUAGUAACAGAGGUAAAAUCAAAUUGUAUUCAAGAACAAAAGUAUUUAAGUUGAUUUUCUAGUGAAUUUGCAUUUAGAUUUCUUUGGUCAUCUUGAGGUUUCCAAAAAAAAAGUACACCACAGAUUGGAAGCAUAUUAAUGUAAACAACAGUAAAAAUGAAGACAACGUGUCUGUGCCACUUAAGGCUCCAAAUUACAUAGAUCAACGUCCUAGUAUAUGGAAACAACAAUUUUAAUUGAAAAUAGGCAACUUGAGUGUCCUGGCAAGAGUAAUGCUGAAUAUUUAACCAAAACAAACACAUAGUUGGACAACCAGUUAAUUCCUGCUGCAGUGUCCAUGCCACUACUCCGUGAGCCUGUGGCUUCCUGUAUUUCUCUCCCGUUAUGCCAGAGCAGUCCUGUGAGAUGUUUGUUUUGGUGUUCAAUUACUUUGCCGUGUUGCUCGCUUCCUGAAAGAGAUGCUAAAAUUCCCACGAAAAUAACUAUAUCCAUGUAUCACGAUGUUACUGAGUAUGUUAUGUCAUACUGUGUAGUACAGCCUUAUUUUUCAUCUUUCUCUGUCCAAAUCAACAGAUUUUAGACUUGUAAUAAACUGUAUUUAAAAUACUGAUAAGUAUUACUAAAUAAUCAAGAAAAA